ACGGAGAUUAAUUUUCAAUAAGGCUUCUCUACCUUCGUCUAACAAGCAAGAAUAUAUGAAACGAUAGAUACACCCAGGCUGAAGCAUUAGGUAGUGGUAUGUAUAUGCGCUUUUCCAAUCUUCGUCGUAGCGCUUCAUCUAUAUCCCACGGAAAGUUUGUUGCAGCAAGAACCAUGACAACUUUACUUGGAUCAUCGCUGUGAAAGUUAUAUAACAGGUGCCAAUAUCAGGUCAUUUACAUAUUACUCAGAAGUUAUACCUGUUGGAGUUUACUCCAUCCAUUUGGACAAGGAGUUCGGAUUUAAC
rnacentral:lncRNA from 1 species